CUAUGUGGCAAUGGAAAGGGCCCUGAAAGAAGGUGGCAGGUAGGAGGAGCUGAAAGCCAGGCAGGAGGCACCUGUGUGUUGGUGUGUGGGCCAGAGAAGAAGAAAGAGCCUCCAGGUGACAAGAGCUGCAGAAUGGGGAUAAUGAUACCCUGACAAAGCAGCAGAGCUUGGAGCCCAGCCCAGCCAGGGGGUCUGGAACAGCUAAGCCGCAAUGCACCACUCACAAAGGGGCUGUACCUGGGCAGUCUCACCCAAGGGACACUUCUCAGGGGUCAGGAGAAUUUCAGCUCUGUGUUUACACAUGAUUCUAGGCUGAGGGAGAGAGAAAAAGCAGGGUAGGGGGUGGCAGAUUAGGCGAGGGAAUGUGUCCCCUAGAUGGUCCCUUAGCUCAUAGUGGAAGUGGGCUCUAGAGCGCCUUGCCCAUGCCCUCUUCAUGCUCUAGAGAGGUGGGCAAAGGACAAAGUAUGCGACUACCCAGGAGAACCAGCCUCCAGAUUGAGAUUGGAGAUGAAGGCCACUCAGUCCCCUCCAUUGCAAAAAGAAUAAAAGAAAGGAGUAGGAUUGGCCAUUGCUUGCAAAUAAACAGGAGGGGGCAGUGUUGGGGUAAUGACCUCCAUCCGGGGAGGGUCAGGAAGGGAGCUGUCCUUUACUGGGCACCCAGGAGAUGCACCUGUACAAUUUCAUUCAUUCUCACGACCACCUCGUUAGGUAGGCACUAUCUCUGUGGCUCCAUUUGGCCAAUGAAAAGGAUGAAGAUCUGAGAAGUCAAGUUACACUGCUAGGAAGAGGUUGACUUGGAGUGGAAACCCAGGACUGCCUGUCUGACUGCUGAAUGGGUGCUUUGCGUUCCUUACCUGCCCUCCCAGGGCUCCAGACCGUCCCUCCUGCACAUCUGCCUCUCCCAGGCCGUGCCUGCAUGUCCCCAGCCCCCUCCAACAGCUCCAUCUCCCGAGAGCUCCUUGAAUCUCCUCACUCACUCCUCACUCUUGCUUCCUCUUUGGAAUCCAGCCACAGGCUUUUUUCUUCCAUCUGAGGGAGAGAAAAUGGUCUCGUUCCCCACCCCCAGGUCUUUCCAUCCUCUCAUCCUUUCCUUUGUUAGAUGCUUUCAUAUUACCAAGUUCCUAUAGUCAACUUCUUAUCUUACUUAGUAAUUAUGCAUUAUCUUAUCUGAUAUUAGUAUCUGACUUCCCACCAGAAUUACAACCCUCUGGGAAAGCUGGUUAUCUGAGAUUUUUUUGUUUGUUUUUUGAGACAUACUCGCUCUGUUGCCUGGGCUGAAGUAGAGUGGCCCGAUCUUGGCUCACUGGAAUUUCUGCCUCCCAGGUUCAAGCAAUUCUCAUGUUUCAGCCUCCAGAGUAGCUGGGACUAGAGGUGCCCGCCACCACGACAAAGCUAAUUUUUGUAUUUUUAGUAGAGACAGAGUCUCGCCAUGUUGGACAGGCUGGCCUUGAACUCCUAGCCUCAAGUGAUCCACCUGCCUUGGCCUCCCAAAGUGCUGCGGUUACAGGCAUGAGUCACAUUCCCAGCCUGAGGGCUUGUUAUCUUACCUGUGUAACUUAUCUGUAUCCCCUUUAUACAGGGGAAUAUAUUGACAGCCUUCAAAUGUGUUCUAUGUUCAAUAUAUUCAAUAUAUUCAGUAUAUUCAAAAUAUAUUGGCAGCCUUCAAAUUCUGCGAGGCUGUCACAUUGCAGAGGAAGACCAUGUUAACAUAGGAGCAGGGAGGUGAAGAAGUGGGUUGUUAAGGAGAAGUGGGUGGGGUUCCUUCUAAGGAAGGUCUUAUAAGAAUGAGAAGUUUCAGGGGUAGAACAGGUGCCCUCCCUGAAGGGCUGGGACAGCCCUGGUAAGAUUCAGGGGAAAUUAGCAGGCUGGGGAUUCAGGUGGGAAGGGUGAGGCAGGAGACGGAGCCUUGCUCUGUCGCCAGGCUGGAAUGCAAUGGCUCAACCUCGGCUACUGCAACCUCUGCCUCCCAGCUUCUAGUGAUUCUCCUGCCCCAGCCUCCUGAGUAGCUGGGACUACAGGUGUGCACCACCGCGCCCGGCUAAUUUUUGUAUUUUUGGUAAAGAUGGGGUUUCACCACAUUGGCCAGGAUGGUCUCGAUCUCUUGACCUCGUGAUCUGCCCGUCUUGGCCUUCCAAAGUGCUGGGAUUACAGGCGUGAGCCCGGCCAGAGUUGGAUUUUAAAAGGAAGGGAUGGGUCUUCAGGAAUUGAGAGGUGGAAGGGGUAAAAUCCUCAGAAUCAUCCGCGGUGAUUGCUUCUUUCUCCCAUUCCUCACUUUGAAUGAAUGAAUGAAUGAAUGUGGAAGGCACCCUCCCAUAGGAAGGUAUCUCUGUGAGACUGUGGUCACCUUGAUAAGGGGCCCUCAGGGCCUUCCCAGGGCUGAGCCCACAUGUCCAUCUCGUCUCCUCCAGAUGGCAGCUAUGAGGGCAAAGGAAGGAAGAUUCUGAGAGGAGAGGAAGCUGCAGCCAGGGGGAUGGAGGUUAGACAGCAGGCGAGUCAUGGGAAGGAGCGCAGAACGGAGGCUGGGGAUGGCUUCUUCCAUCAGAGCUCUGUGAGGGAGGAGUGGGGCUGUGUGUGUGUCUGGGCAGCCGCUGGGCCUGAGCUAAGAAGCCAUGCUUCUCCUGAAGAAUGGCAAGAAAUUAGCACUUGGCUGGGCCGCCCCAUCAUUGCUGUUCCUCACACCUUGCUGGGUAAUUUCUACAAGACCAAAGCCUGAGCCUAAUGGGCCGCCUGCUUCCAGCCCGGUGGACAACAUCAGGGAAAGCAGCCCCCAGGGUUUCUCACAGACUAAGGGGCUCUGUGCUCUGCUGAAAGGAUGGUGCUUACAGUUGUCAGGAGAGAAGGACACUCUGAAAGCUUGGGAUCCUACAGCUGUUGGGUGAGAAUGAGCAAGUUAAGAGUGCUCUGCUGAGCCUAAAAAGCAGGAAAACGUUCUCUGCGGCAAUGGGAAAAGGAGUCAUCUCUGUUAGUGACUUGAGUGCCAAAGAGCCAUGUCUGUGCUCGGCACACGCCGAGUGGUGAAGCCUCCAGCGUGUACAGCCAUGCCACAGCUAGAGGCAGCUCAGGACAGAUCUUAGUAGCUGGUACCAGGAAAGCACCCAGGGCUACCUGACCUAGACUGCUCUCUGACCAAGCCCCAUGUCUUAUGCACACACUGUGGCACAUGCCGUGGCACAUGCUGAAGCCAGCCUUAGCUCUAGUACUUACCCCAGCACAUCCUCCAGCUGCUGCCCUCCUUCCCCAGCCCCCACAGGAAUCCCAGGUCCCAUCUGCUCCACUUCUCUGCAUUUCCCCUGAACAUCUGGACUGCUCCUGAAAUCUGGCUCCUUGUUCCAU
rnacentral:lncRNA from 1 species